CGUACUGAGACACGGACCAGACUCCUACGGGAGGCAGCAGUGAGGAAUAUUGGACAAUGGGAGCAAUCCUGAUCCAGCCAUGCCGCGUGCAGGAAGACUGCCCUAUGGGUUGUAAACUGCUUUUAUACAGGAAGAAAAAGCCCGACGUGUCGGGUGUUGACGGUACUGUAAGAAUAAGGAUCGGCUAACUCCGUGCCAGCAGCCGCGGUAAUACGGAGGAUCCAAGCGUUAUCCGGAAUCAUUGGGUUUAAAGGGUCCGUAGGCGGGAUAAUAAGUCAGUGGUGAAAGUCUGCAGCUCAACUGUAGAAUUGCCAUUGAUACUGUUGUUCUUGAGUUAUUGUGAAGUGGUUAGAAUGAGUAGUGUAGCGGUGAAAUGCAUAGAUAUUACUCAGAAUACCGAUUGCGAAGGCAGAUCACUAACAAUACACUGACGCUGAUGGACGAAAGCGUAGGUAGCGAACAGGAUUAGAUACCCUGGUAGUCUACGCCGUAAACGAUGGUUACUAGCUGUUCGGGUUAAUUGAGACCUGAGUGGCUAAGCGAAAGUGAUAAGUAACCCACCUGGGGAGUACGUUCGCAAGAAUGAAACUCAAAGGAAUUGACGG
rnacentral:rRNA from 1 species